rnacentral:rRNA from 1 species
UGAGGAAUAUUGGUCAAUGGGCGAGAGCCUGAACCAGCCAAGUAGCGUGCAGGAUGACGGCCCUAUGGGUUGUAAACUGCUUUUAUAUGGGAAUAAAGUGAGGGACGUGUCCCUUAUUGCAUGUACCAUAUGAAUAAGGACCGGCUAAUUCCGUGCCAGCAGCCGCGGUAAUACGGAAGGUCCAGGCGUUAUCCGGAUUUAUUGGGUUUAAAGGGAGCGUAGGCUGUUUGUUAAGCGUGUUGUGAAAUGUAAGAGCUCAACUUUUAGAUUGCAGCGCGAACUGGCAGACUUGAGUGCGCACAACGUAGGCGGAAUUCAUGGUGUAGCGGUGAAAUGCUUAGAUAUCAUGACGAACUCCGAUUGCGAAGGCAGCUUACGGGAGCGCAACUGACGCUAAAGCUCGAAGGUGCGGGUAUCGAACAGG